UGCCAUCAAUCCGGGUCUUAUUCGGGUCGGGUCGUUCUUAUGUAAAGGGAGCAAAACGAAAUAACACGAUGGGUAUGAAAAAGUGCCUGAGACCUUGUCAUCGUUCUAUACAGAUCUCUCUCCAUCUCUUUCCUCGUUCACCGAUUCAUCUAAAACCCUAAAUUUCACAGCAAAUCCACACUCAGAUUUCUAUAUAGUCCCAACUGUAAAUAACUUUCUGAAAUUUCAAUCUUAAAUUCAUCAAUUCUGUAACCACUCCAGCCAAUGCGAUGGUGGUCUGCAAAUGCCGCAAGGCAACUAAGUUAUACUGUUUCGUGCACAAGGUCCCUGUUUGUGGAGAAUGCAUAUGUUUCCCGGAGCACCAAAUAUGCGUGGUUCGUACUUACUCAGAAUGGGUUAUAGAUGGAGAGUAUGAUUGGCCUCCUAAAUGCUGCCAGUGUCGUGCUGUGCUAGAAGAGGAGUCUGAUUCUCAAACUACUCGAUUGGGUUGCUUGCAUAUUAUACAUACAAAUUGCUUAGUCUCACAUAUUAAAAGUUUUCCGCCACACACUGCGCCAGCUGGAUAUGUGUGUCCUGACUGUUCCACUUCGGUAUGGCCUCCAAAAAUUGUCAAAGAUUCAGGAUCCCGUCUUCAUUCGAAGCUGAAGGAGGCAAUUAUGCUGACUGGUCUGGAGAAGAACUUAUUUGGGAACCAUCCAGUUUCAUUGCCAGCUACAGAAUCCCGUGGUCCUCCUCCUGCUUUUUCUUCAGAUCCACUGAUGCAUGCAUCUGCAACUGGAGGGAGAGAGUAUAAUGCAAGCUUGUCAUCUUCAGUAGCUAAAGAUUCUGAAGGUUACUCGGCUGCAGCUGGAACAGGGCCUACUAAUUCUUCAUUCACAGAUAUUGUGGAGAUAGAUGGUCCUAACUCGGCAAGUCCAUCCCUGUCUAAUCAUGAGUCCAGUUUCGUGAAAAAUGCAAGUCCUGCUGGUGCUGGUGCUACAACGCGAAAGACUGCUUUCCAAGUUGAUAGGCAAAACUCUGAAAUUUCAUAUUACACAGAUGAUGAAGAUGGAAAUCGGAAAAAGUACACGCGAAGGGGUUCUUUCCGCCAUAAGUUUCUUAGGGCAUUGCUACCUGUCUGGUCGAGUGCAUUACCAGUUCUUCCAGUGACUGCACCACCAAGAAAAGAUGCAUCAAAUGCAGAUGAUGUCCCAGAAGGUCGUUUGCGGCAUCAGAGAUCCUCAAGGAUGGAUCCAAGGAAAAUCCUUCUCUUCAUAGCAAUCAUGCAUGGCGCAUUUCCCAUGCUUGUAUUCAUAUGCCGCACCUGGCCAAAUUUAUUUGUGGGGUAAAAUUCUGUCAGAUGACUGCAAUCAUGUGAUUUCAGGCAAGGUGCACCAUAAAUGGUUGUUGCUGGAGAAGGGAAUGUAUAAAGAAUACAGAUGAAAGUUAUGUGACUGAAUCAAGCGAUUCAGUGGUUGGACUCGAGGGAUUUGCUUUAGGGUGUCAGUCAAGGGCAUGCGUGGGUACGAUGGGUAUUCUGUAUUACAGACUUGCACAAGGUGGCCUUGGUGAGGAGCUGCCCGGUGACGAGCAACAGUGAUCAAAAUCUCAUAGAGGUCGUGAUGGUAUAUUAUUUCUUGAUAUUCUGGUUACUUCCACGAUUCUUCCUUGUUUCCGCUGAGUCACUCCCUCGUGAUGGACUGGGCUGGUUCACUGCUAAGCACACCAGUCGAUGCUUGCUGUAGAGAAUUUUCAUUUUUCUCUGAUGGCAGCAAAAUGGUGCGUAUGAAUUUCUUGCUCAUCUUGGUCCUCUGCUCGUGUUUUGGCUUUUGUUUGUAAACAAAAGUAUCGCAUUAAAACCAAUUUUUUAUUUUUAUUUUUAGGUUCAGUUAUUUUGUGAAUAUCUAUUUUGAACUAAUAACCUUGAGACAGCUAAGGUUGUAUGGACCAUUUGUGGUUCAGAAUGUCUCAUUUGUGUAUUUUUUUUGCAUCUUUACUGUGUUGGUAUUGUAUGCUGGGCUGAAGAGAUCAUUGUUUCAGUUACUUCUGGAAGAUAAAUUUGUGAGAACCACUGUCCACCUUGAUAGUUUUGAAAACUAGAUUUGAUCAAGGGGUUGUUUCUCAGAUGACAGAACAAUGGUGCAUGGAAAUUUUAUUGAAGCUUUCAUCAUAA